rnacentral:lncRNA from 1 species
AUGUUGUAUGACAGCCCUCAAUAUAAAGGAUUAAAAGUUAAACAUGAAAACAAUACACUUUUUGGACCAAAUGUUAUAAGUUGCUGUCCUGGUGGAGUCCUUGCACCUCGUCUUACAUGUAAAUCCCAAAUUCUGAAAUUCCGUCACUAUCUUCCAAUAGCCAGUGGUAGAGAUCUUUACCCAGAGGCGAACGGUACAAAACAAUAGCAGUUUCCAAUGUAGCCACCAACAAAGUUAUUAUCUGUUCUUCAGAGGUUCGUUAUUGUUAGAUUAUUUGAAAACAGAACUGGAAACUCACUACUUUUGCUGAUAUACCACUGCUGACCUCCAAAUCCACCCAAGAGUGUAUCCCACACACGAGAUACAUGGUUAAUUCAAAGAACUUUUCUAAGUCAACAAGUACCACGCUGGUGGGAGCCACUUGAAUUCUUUAUUCUUCUGUACCAAACAUGUACAAGAGGUGUCUCAGACAUGUGUGAGCAUUAAAUAGGCCUAUGUAUUUGUGGUGAACUCAUCAUGAUUUUUUGAUGUGCAAAAAAAAUCAACUAAAUAUGACUGUAAAUUCUUAUAUACAAAAUUGAUGGGAAUUUGGAUUGUUGUGUGGCUUGAUUUCUGCAGUGAUAAAUGCACACUUCUGUCUUUAAUUUGAGAUUAGCGAUUCACACCACUGGCCUCAGAAGAUGAGUACUGUACACCUGUUGUACUACUGCCUAUUAUUGCAUAGAAAGGACCUUCCAUGACAACCUGAUUAGUAAACCCAUUCCCUACCACAGUGCAACACUCUGCUGGUUUCUGGCAUGAGGCUGAAUCGAUGGUGACCCAGUUUUCAUUUCACAGUGAACAAACCAUUCAUAUUAUCACCAUCAAAUGCAAGAACAGUCUUUAGUUUGAUCUUUGCAAAGAAUACCAUGUUUAGCUGAAGUGAUUGAGAAUGAGCUCCUGACGUAUUCUGUGUGCCUCGGAGUCCACGGUGUCUGGGUGUUCAGUUACUUCAUCAGACUGGUCUUUAGCCUCUGUCCUCUCAAAGGUCCAAGCAUCCAGUCCUGACUGAAGUGAGACAUUGUGCAGAACACAGCAGGCCAAGAUUAUGUUAGCACACUUGUCAGGUGAGUACUGCAGGUAGCCCUUAGAGCCGUCGAGACAGCGGAACCGCGUCUGUAUGGCUCUGAAGGUGCGAUCUACAAUCUCAUGUGUGGAUGUGUGGGCA